rnacentral:rRNA from 1 species
UACGUAGGGGGCGAGCGUUAUCCGGAUUUACUGGGCGUAAAGCGCGCUAAGGCGGCCGGCAAAGUUGGUGGUGAAAUCUCCGGGCUUAACCCGGAAAGGUCAACCGAUACUGCGGGGCUAGAGUGCAGAAGGGGCAACUGGAAUUCUCGGUGUAGCGGUGAAAUGCGUAGAUAUCGAGAGGAACACCUGCGGCGAAGGCGGGUUGCUGGGCUGACACUGACGCUGAGGCGCGAAAGCUAGGGGAGCGAACGGG